UACGUAGGGUGCGAGCGUUAAUCGGAAUUACUGGGCGUAAAGCGUGCGCAGGCGGUUUGCUAAGACAGGUGUAAAAUCCCCGGGCUUAACCUGGGAACUGCGCUUGUGACUGGCAGGCUAGAGUACGGUAGAGGGGGGUGGAAUUCCUGGUGUAGCAAUGAAAUGCGUAGAUAUCAGGAGGAACACCGAUGGCGAAGGCAGCCCCCUGGGCCUGUACUGACGCUCAUGCACGAAAGCGUGGGGAGCAAACAGGAUUAGAUACCCUGGUA
rnacentral:rRNA from 1 species